rnacentral:rRNA from 1 species
AAAGGUGAAAAGGACCCCGGGAGGGGAGUGAAAGAGAACCUGAAACCUUGUGCUUACAAGCAGUCAAAGCACGUUAACGUGUGAUGACGUACUUUUUGUAGAACGGUCCGGCGAGUUAUAGUAACGAGCAAGCUUAAGGUAUUGAGUACCGGAGGCGAAGCGAGAGCGAGUCUGAAUAGGGCGUAAAGUUCGUUGCCAUAGACCCGAAACCGGGUGACCUAUCCAUGAGCAGGCUGAAGUGAGAGUAAAAUCUCAUGGAGGGCCGAACCGACCCCCGUUGCAAUGGUGGCGGAUGACUUGUGGAUAGCGGAGAAAUUCCAAUCGAACUCGGAGAUAGCUGGUUCUCCCCGAAAUAGCUUUAGGGCUAGCGUUAUGUUAGAUUACCGGAGGUAAAGCACUGAAUGGUGGCGGGGCCGAUAAGGUUACCAAGACCUAUCAAACUCUGAAUGCCGGAUAAUUGAUGCAUAGCAGUCAGACAGCGUGAGAUAAGUUUCGUUGUCAAAAGGGAAACAGCCCAGACCCACAGCUAAGGUCCCAAAUUCAUGCUAAGUGGAAAACGAUGUGGAAUUGCGAAAACAACCAGGAUGUUGGCUUAGAAGCAGCCACUCAUUAAAAGAGUGCGUAAUAGCUCACUGGUCGAGUGACUCUGCGCGGAAAAUAUAACGGGGCUAAGCAUGAAACCGAAGCUUGGGCUUGUACUUAGGUACAGGGGUAGGGGAGCGUCGAGUAUGGGGUGAAGUCAGAGCGGAAGCACUGGUGGACUGUACUGGAGUGAGAAUGCCGGAAUGAGUAGCGAGAAUUAUGUGGGAAUCAUAAUGGCCGAAAAUCUAAGGUUUCUUGGGGAAGGUUCGUCCGCCCAAGGUAAGUCGGGAGCUAAGCUCAGGCCGAGAGGCGUAGGCGAUGCACAUACGGUAGAAAUUCCGUAACCACCGAAACUUAAACAGAGGGACACUUCAGGAUAGCGGAACCCGGGCGUUGGUUGACCCGGGCGAAAGGGAGCGAAAUAAGAGUAGCGAAGUCCGCGAUGCCUGGAGGCGAGAAAAGCUCUGAGGUAUGCUAAGGUGCCCGUACCGCAAACCGACACAGGUAGAUGAGGAGAGAAUCCUAAGGCCAACGGGAGAAGGGUUGUUAAGGAACUCGGCAAAUUGACCCCGUAACUUCGGAAGAAGGGGAGCCCCCUACGGGGGGUCGCAGAGAAAUGGCCCAAGCAACUGUUUACCAAAAACACAGGUCUAUGCUAAAUCGAAAGAUGACGUAUAUGGGCUGACGCCUGCCCGGUGCCGGAAGGUUAAGAGGAGAUGUCAGGCAACGAAGCAUUGAAUUUAAGCCCCGGUAAACGGCGGCCGUAACUAUAACGGUCCUAAGGUAGCGAAAUUCCUUGUCAGGUAAGUUCUGACCCGC